UACGUAGGGUGCGAGCGUUAAUCGGAAUUACUGGGCGUAAAGCGUGCGCAGGCGGUCUGUUAAGACCGAUGUGAAAUCCCCGGGCUUAACCUGGGAACUGCAUUGGUGACUGGCAGGCUUUGAGUGUGGCAGAGGGAGGUAGAAUUCCACGUGUAGCAGUGAAAUGCGUGGAGAUGUGGAGGAAUACCGAUGGCGAAGGCAGCCUCCUGGGCCAACACUGACGCUCAUGCACGAAAGCGUGGGGAGCAAACAGG
rnacentral:rRNA from 1 species